rnacentral:rRNA from 1 species
CAGGUCUUGACAUCGGAUGCAUAGCUCAGAGAUGAGUGAAGCCCUUCGGGGCAUCCAGACAGGUGGUGCAUGGUUGUCGUCAGCUCGUGUCGUGAGAUGUUGGGUUAAGUCCCGCAACGAGCGCAACCCUUGUAUUUAGUUGCUACGCAAGAGCACUCUAGAUAGACUGCCGUUGACAAAACGGAGGAAGGUGGGGAUGACGUCAAAUCAUCAUGCCCCUUACGACCUGGGCCACACACGUACUACAAUGGCGCGCAACAGAGGGAAGCAAGGCAGCGAUGCGGAGCAAACCCCUAAAACGCGUCCCAGUUCAGAUUGCAGGCUGCAACCCGCCUGCAUGAAGUCGGAAUUGCUAGUAAUCGCGGAUCAGCAUGCCGCGGUGAAUACGUUCCC